rnacentral:rRNA from 1 species
GAUGAACGCUGGCGGCGUGCCUAAUACAUGCAAGUCGAGCGAACAGACGAGGAGCUUGCUCCUCUGACGUUAGCGGCGGACGGGUGAGUAACACGUGGAUAGCCUACCUAUAAGACUGGGAUAACUUCGGGAAACCGGAGCUAAUACCGGAUAAUAUAUUGAACCGCAUGGUUCUAUAGUGAAAGACGGUUUUGCUGUCACUUAUAGAUGGAUCCGCGCCGCAUUAGCUAGUUGGUAAGGUAACGGCUUACCAAGGCAACGAUGCGUAGCCGACCUGAGAGGGUGAUCGGCCACACUGGAACUGAGACACGGUCCAGACUCCUACGGGAGGCAGCAGUAGGGAAUCUUCCGCAAAGGGCGAAAGCUUGACGGAGCAACGCCGCGUGAGUGAUGAAGGCCUUCGGAUCGUAAAACUCUGUUAUUAGGGAAGAACAAAUGUGUAAGUAACUAUGCACGUCUUGACGGUACCUAAUCAGAAAGCCACGGCUAACUACGUG